rnacentral:misc_RNA from 1 species
UGAAAAGCGUCCUAAACCACUCAAAGUUGAAGAAGAACAGCUUCUAAGGGCUUUCUACGAAUUCAAAAUUCAAGACGUUUGUGAUGCCUUUAAGUUCCCUCGUAAGAUUCAGGCAACAGCUCUCAUUUAUUUUAAGAGGUUUUAUCUUCUGUGGUCCGUGAUGGAACAUCACCCCAAAGACAUUAUGUUAACGUGCAUAUAUGCAGCUUGCAAGGCAGAGGAAAACCAUGUAUCAGCUGAGGAGCUUGGGAAGGGUAUUGGACAG